rnacentral:lncRNA from 1 species
AAAACCAUCCAGGCUGGACAAGGCAACCCAACAGAAGGAAAAGAGCCCUCAUUUACAUUCAUAUUCUUCUUCAGGACUCCCAUAAAGAUACUAAACUGAAAGCUACAACAUAGCAUGCAGAAGACUUGGUACAGAACCAUGAAGACCUUGUGCUUGCUGCUUUAGUCUCUUGUUGGACUCUAGGCAGGAUUUAAGGGUACAAAUAGCAGGUGUGAUAAGUGUUCAUGUUGAUGAGUAUAUAGGAGCCUAUGUGAUGCAUAUUCUACAUCUGAUGUCAGGACAAAGAGCAUUCUCAGCACAGUAGGUAUCUCUCCUGUGUGCUUCUCAGUCAAAUCUAGUUCCAAACCCAUCACUCUCCUUUUGCUGUCAAUAAUGAUUAUUGUUAUCUUGCUGGAUUUUAUUUGAAAUAAAAUAGAUAAAUUGGUGUUU